CUACCGACAUCGCGAGGUGUCGGGAGGGGAUGGCAGAAGUCAGCAGAGGUCGUAGUAGCCGCAUUGACCGAAGCGGCGAAGGGC
rfam:Betaproteobacteria bacterium RIFCSPLOWO2_02_FTLL_66_14 rifcsplowo2_02_scaffold_1518, whole genome shotgun sequence.